CUCGUAGUUGGAUUUGUGGUUGAGCAGUCCGGUCCGACACUUUUGUGUGGGUACUUGGACGGCUCGUCCAUCCUUGGGUGGAAUCUGUGUGGCAUUAGGUUGUCGUGCAGGGGAUGCCCAUCUUUUACUGUGAAAAAAUUAGAGUGUUCAAAGCAGGCUUAUGCCGUUGAAUAUAUUAGCAUGGAAUAAUGAGAUAGGACCUUGGUACUAUUUUGUUGGUUUGCGCACCGAGGUAAUGAUUAAUAGGGACAGUUGGGGGUAUUCGUAUUCCAUUGUCAGAGGUGAAAUUCUUGGAUUUUUGGAAGACGAACUACUGCGAAAGCAUUUACCAA
rnacentral:rRNA from 1 species